rnacentral:rRNA from 1 species
GGUUGAUCCUGCCAGUAGUGAUAUGCUUGUCCUAAAGAUUAAGCCAUGCAUGUGCAAGUAUAACCGAGAAGAGGGGGAAACUGCGAAAGGCUCAUUAAAUCAGCAAUGAUAUGAAUGACGGAGGAGAGUAGAUGGACAACUGUGGUAAUUCUAGAGCUAAUACAUGGACAGCUGGCACUUAGGUGGCAGGCGCUUAUUAGAUAACAACCAAAUGCGGAUGAGUCAUGAUAAGAGAGCGGAUCGACAAAGUAAUGUCGACGGGUCAUGUUAAUUUCUGCCCUAUCAACUUGAU